GCCGGCUAGGUUUUGGCGGGUUGCAGAUUCCUUUGUCCCUCGAAGGUGGGCGGGCGCAGCCCUGCCUACUUUGUAGCGGGUUGAGGCUGGCCCCGCCUGCGGGCCAAGAGCCCAUCCCAGACCAACCUUGGGUCUGGGGAGUUUGUGCGUGCGCAGCGUCUGCUGGGGUGCAGCUGUUAGCGCCCAACGUGGGGUUUUCUGCUCGCUGCAAGACAUGCCAAUAGUCAAGAUGGAGAUAGAGCAUACAUCAAUGUUUUUAGAAGAAAACAUGCAUGGUCACCUUGCUGGGAGAGGCCUUAGGAAGCACUGCUAACCAUCUAUACCGUCACCAAAAGUCCUCCUGGCUUCAUGUGAAACAUACCAAGCUACAUCCAGAUCAUCACCCCCAUGACGAUUAGAAGGCCAUGCCUAUGAGUGACCUCAGACUGAAGAUUUCCAGAGCGAUUUGGGCUCCAGAACCAGACAACAACAUGAAGUAGACAGCUUUAUCCAAGAUCUUGGAUCAAGAAUUUUGUCUUCAUUUAUCUUCUCUUGAAACCUCUUCUCUUCCUGACCUGGAAAAUUCUCUGACCUAGAAAUUUAAACAGAACCCUUCCUCCUUUAUUUACAGAAAGAUUGGCCGGAGGUUGCUUGUCUUACCCUAUUCUCUCCCUGUUCCUCCACUAUGGGCUCCCUUUCAAACUGUGUCUUGCUUCAACUAACGCUUGCUGUUUUUUCAACAAUUCUAGCACAACCCCAACACUCACACCAGUCUUUCAAACCCUGGCCGCCUUAACUAAUUAAUCUGACUGCUGGUUAUGUCAACAUCUGGAUAACACACAAAAACCUAAACUAGUUUUUGUUCCUGCCAGUGCAAGCACCUGGUGGACCUGUUCUGGACAGUGGUUGUAUGAAAGGGAAUGGCAUCCACAAGCAGGAGUGCAAAAUCCCUCUACUUCCUCCUAUGGUAGAGUGAUUUGGCACUGGGAACCCCCUGUGGAAGCUCAAGGUCUAUCCUUUACUCAGGUGAGGCUAUUGGAGAGAAGUUUUUCUCUUUGCAUUAAAAACAAAAAUGGCACUGGACCCUUCCUAGGUAAUAUACCAAAACAAUACUGUCAUCAAAUACUGUGGUUUGAUUCCACAGGUGGCACCUUCAAAUGCUCUAUAGAUUUUAUAAAUGAGUCCAAGACUGAUUAUUCUGAUACAAAUAUUUGCCUAGUCACUGGACAGUAUUCCUGGUUCGCAGGCCACACAAAUGGGAGCUGGAACAGCUUGGCUGUUCCCCUGGUUGGUCUGCCCAAUACCCAGAACUACAUGUGGGUGGACCAAAAUUCUGGAAUGACCUGGUCAGGUAGGGACACCUAUCUCUAUAACUGCCAAAAUCAAACCAAAGGUCUUCUCUACCAGUUAUUUCGCAACCUGUUUUGCUCUUAUAGCCUGACAGAGGCUCAUGGGAAAUGGAGAUGUGCAGGUGCCAGCAUAACUAAUGACGAAGGUCGCAAUGGACACCGGACCCCAACCUGGUGGAUCACAGGUUCCACUCUGACCUUGUCUGUGAAUGAUUCUGGUCUCUUUAUUUUAUGCGUCAAUAAGGUAUAUAAAGGGUUGCCACCGAAAUGGUCAGGACAAUGUGGACUUGGAUACCUGGCACCUUCCCCACCAGGUAUCCCACUUUAAAUGCUAGCCAAAUUUCAAACCUAGGCUCCUACAUACAUAAAGUAGCACCACGUAGACACACCCAAGGAGACAGAGACGAUCCACUCAUGUGUCUCAACACCAAUUCAAUAAGGACUCUUUUUCGAAGUUUGGAAACUUCUGAUCUAGAAGAAGCAAUUUCCAAGAUCUUCAAAGCAAUGGAGCAAGGAUUCACUGCCACUCUGGAGACCUUGGAAGCACGCCAAUCAGGAUUGAGCGGAUUAGCCACUGUACUCCAAAGCCGUCAUCUCCUGGAUACCCCAGCUGCGCAACCGGAAAGAACGUGUGCGCUCAUUGGCAGACAGCGCUGCCUAUCUCUUACCUCCCGACUUCCAACCCAAAAUCUCUCUGCACAGCAAGCGACCCAGCUUCUUGCCUGUGAAACUUCAAGUUUCAAACAGGGAAAUGAAGGGACUAACCCUGCCAGAAUGGCAUAAAGACUAUUUUAAACUGAGAACAUCUGAACAAACAGCAGCUGCAGAAAAAGAGCCUUCUCUAUAUUCCCUUUGAUGAGUAAAGUGGGCCUUUCUGAGAAUUCACCUGCCAUAAACCCUCUCCAGGGGAGCCUCUGUAAGGGAGGAGCCUGACUUGGCAUCAGGACCUCGCGGGGAAUUGCGUAAAUAAGUCCUGUCAGAACCUUCCGUACUUUCCCACUGAAGCCUUAACACCCGCUCCCCCAUCCCAUUAAGCUGGUGUCUUAUCUCUGGCAGUUCAGAGAGCUACUCCUUAUAGCAUGCUCCCGCAUACAUGUAUCAUAACUUUUCUCCUAUUAAUAUGUCUUUAAUACACAGGCCCUCAACUACUUGAACCUCAGUUGGUAGAGGAAAAGUUUUCCUCCCAGUGGCACUGUCUAGCCCUCUCUAGAUACACCAGAGUGUUCAAAUACAUAACGAAAUUCGGAAACCUUGAUUCUGUUUGAAGGUGGAAGAAUCUAAUGUACAUAUACAUAGGCUUUCUGGGAAUCCUUUUAAAUUUGUCUCAAACAAUAAACUUGUGGUAGUCA